UCCAGCAGUUCCAAAAUAUUAGUCAAUGCUCGAAAGAGUGAACUAGCUAACUGAAAUCAAUUAAAAAAAUUGAUAACAUAAGGGAAAAUAAUGAUAUUACCUUAUUAUUAGUGUCGUCCAAAACUGGUGCCAGAAGACUCGGUAAGGCCAGAGACACAAACGUUAAUCGUCUUAAUCAGGCGUAAAGGGUUUGUAGGCGGCUUUUAAUUUACUUAUAAAUCUUAUAAAAUAAGUUAAGAAUAAAAGCUAGAAUCAAAUAGAGGAUAUAUCAAAUAAUGCUUAGAGUAGGUCUGAUAUCCUUAGAUACUAAGUAGAAUAUUAAAGGCGAAAGCUUUUUUCCAUAAAUGAUUGACGCUCAGAAACGAAGGUGAGGAUAGGAAAUAGGAUUAGAUACCCAAAAUACCCCUCUCUGUCAACGAUGAAUGGUAGUUAUUAAUAAUAAAUUUAUUAUUAAUGGCAAUGUUAACACGAUAACCAUUCCGCCUUGUGAGUACAACUGCAAAGUUGAAAACAAAAAAAUUAGUCGGUUUCGGAGCAAACGAAGUGAAGCAUGUUAUUUAAUUCAAUAAAUCCGCAAA
rnacentral:rRNA from 1 species